rnacentral:rRNA from 1 species
CCUACGGGUGGCUGCAGUGAGGAAUAUUGGUCAAUGGGCGGAAGCCUGAACCAGCCAAGUAGCGUGCAGGAUGACGGCCCUAUGGGUUGUAAACUGCUUUUGCAGGGGAAUAAAGUGAGAUACGUGUGUUUCAUUGCAUGUACCCUGCGAAUAAGGACCGGCUAAUUCCGUGCCAGCAGCCGCGGUAAUACGGAAGGUCCUGGUGUUAUCCGGAUUUAUUGGGUUUAAAGGGAGCGUAGGCCGGAGAUUAAGUGUGUUGUGAAAUGUAGACGCUCAACGUCUGACUUGCAGCGCAUACUGGUUUCCUUGAGUACGCACAACGUUGGCGGAAUUCGUCGUGUAGCGGUGAAAUGCUUAGAUAUGACGAAGAACUCCGAUUGCGAAGGCAGCUGACGGGAGCGC